rnacentral:tRNA from 1 species
UAGCUUAGUCAGUUGAGCGUGGCGCUAACAAUGCCAAGGUCGCGGGUUCGAUUCCUGU